GACGAACGCUGGCGGCGUGCUUAACACAUGCAAGUCGAACGGAAAGGCCCUGCUUUUGUGGGGUGCUCGAGUGGCGAACGGGUGAGUAACACGUGAGUAACCUGCCCUUGACUUUGGGAUAACUUCAGGAAACUGGGGCUAAUACCGGAUAGGAGCUCCUGCUGCAUGGUGGGGGUUGGAAAGUUUCGGCGGUUGGGGAUGGACGCGCGGCUUAUCAGCUUGUUGGUGGGGUAGUGGCUUACCAAGGCUUUGACGGGUAGCCGGCCUGAGAGGGUGACCGGCCACAUUGGGACUGAGAUACGGCCCAGCCUCCUACGGGAGGCAGCAGUGGGGAAUAUUGCACACUGGGCGGAAGCCUGAUGCAGCAACGCCGCGUGCGGGAUGACGGCCUUCGGGUUGUAAACCGCUUUCGCCUGUGACGAAGCGUGAGUGACGGUAAUGGGUAAAGAAGCACCGGCUAACUACGUG
rnacentral:rRNA from 1 species